UGAGCCAAAGGCAGCCGUUUAACCAACUGAGCCACCCAGGUGCCCCUUUUUAUUUAUUUUUUUGCCAACCAAGGUGAUUUCAUAUGUCCAUUUGUGUUUUUGUAAAGUGAGCUCUGAAAUCCCACUACCUCAGACUAUGAGGAUCAGCUUUGAUUUGUAUCCUCAGGAAUUCAUCGUCCCUUCAGCACCUGAAUCCUUUAUUUUUCCCUGGAGCCUGAGGGCACAGUUCUCUGGGAUCCUUUCAUUUGGGUCUUUAGGUGAGUGGGCGCUCCUGGGGGUGCUUUUACUUUUUCCUGCCUUCAAGUCUUGCUGUUUUUGCAAGGGAGGCAAACCCCCCUCAUGACAAGGAUGUUCCCAUCCCGAGUCCCUCAGGAGGUUCCGUCAGGGAUGGUGGGGCAGCAACAUACUGGGAGUGGAGGACCCACGUCCUGUCCCUCAGAGCCUCUGCCCUGUCUGUAUCACUGAGGUUGCUCAGCAUCUCCCGCCCUUGGGUCUCUGUGCUUGGCUAUCACUGCUGUCAGACAGGCAGGACUUGACUCUGCAGGAGAGGGGGUUUCCAGGCUGUCUUCUGACUUUGUUAGGCAACCAGCUUGAGGAAACAGGGGAGCAAGUACUGUUCGCCUGUGUUUUCUGGGCCUCCUUUACCUGCUGUCCUUUAGGGGCUGGGCACGUGGUAAAGCCGGCGGCAAGAUUAGAAGUCCUCUAGCGUGCUCCUCAUUAGCUGUCCAGAAUGGUCUCUGGACAGAAGAGU